rnacentral:misc_RNA from 1 species
UCUAACUCAGGUGUGGCUGUAUAGUUGUGUGGUGGUUUUCUUGGGGUUGUUUGUUAUUAUAUUUUACCUAUUUCGCUCAGUGGUAUUCCUAUUUUAUUCGGGGGGGUAAUUCUUCAGUUUUGUUCUUGCUACUCGUGGAUGUUGUUCGUUUUAUGUCGUGUUGCUCCCAAGUUCUCCCAAACUCGGCAAAAGUACCAUCCUUCGACACGUUCGGGAAACUAAAAAGAAAAAGAAGCACAAAAAAAAGCGACACAACAAAAAGAAAUACUCUCUGCCAAGCUGAACCGUACGCCAUUAUAAUCUCAAAACACCUGGAUUGAAGAUCUUUUUGUCUGUCAAAAAUUCGUCUAUAUUUUUCAUUCUUGCCCGGUCUUCUUCUUGGAGCCGGCUUAGAAUCGUUUAGGUCGUAUGUUUAUUAGCUUUGCUGUUGUGUGUCGUGUGUUGGAACGUUAAAACGAAAAGGAAAAAAAAGGAAAUCGACGUGAUCGUUAUCUAUCGAAGAUUCGCUCCACCAACGUUGCUACUGGACUUUAGUUUUUGACCACACUUUUUCACCCCCAUUCGUAAAAAAAACAAAACAAACAAACCUAUUAGCCAACUUAACUCUAACACCAAAAAGAAGAAGAUAAUCUGUGGCUAUGGCGACGACGUACUUGAGCGUGGUUCACCUGGCCACUGCUGGUCUCAAUGGUCCACUGCUCGGUUCUGACGAGGAAGAAAUUGUUCUAAUCUGCCUGGUCGUUGUCAACAUCCAGACCAACCAGGUGGUGACCGUGCAAGACUACUGGGUUAAACCGCGUUCGGCUGAUAUCAACGAGAAUGUCCUUUCUGAACAAGCCAGAGAAGAAAUGGGUCUCUCUGAGGAACUCAUCCGUACCAAAGGCAACUCGCUGGAACAAGUCCUGUCUCAGGUGGACAGUUUUCUGCAGAAAGUGUCGACUGAAGUGGAGCAGAAAACGGCGAGCCAAGCGGCCAACGUCGUGAUCGUGACCGACGGCCAACUCCCUUUACGCCAAUGUUUAUUGCCCGAGACGUGCUCGAAAGGCAUCGCCGAUCCACCGGCCAUUUUUGGCCAUUUUUACGACUUGCGCAAAGAGUUCCGAAAAGGAUUCCCGAACGCGCCUGAAAUCAACUCCAUUCAAGACAUGAUGAACUAUCUGAACUUGGAGCCGGAAGAAACAGCUGGUGUAGUUCAACAGAAUGCCACGAGGAGAGAGGCACAAGACAUGGGACGCAUUCUCCAACGACUUGUGAAAGAAGGUCACAAGUUCGACAAUCCAGAAACGAUCCAUUUGCGAUUGGAACCAGGCAUUUGUUCGAAAGAUGAAGAAGUAGACAGCAACACAGUUGUACGAGCACGUGGUCUACCUUGGCAAUCGUCGGAUCAGGAUAUCGCUCGAUUCUUUCGCGGUCUCAACGUUGCUAGGGGUGGAGUGGCGCUGUGUUUGAGCGCACAAGGAAGGCGGAACGGCGAAGCUCUCGUCAGGUUCGUUUCAUCUGAGCACCGAGACAUGGCUCUCAAACGGCACAAGCAUCACAUCGGACCGCGAUACAUCGAAGUGUACAAAGCAACCGGAGAUGACUUUAUCGAUGUGGCUGGAGGUAGCAACAAUGAAGCGCAAAACUUUUUGUCGAGAAGUGGCCAAGUCAUCGUGCGCAUGCGUGGAUUACCUUAUGACUGCACGGCAAAACAAGUCGUUGAAUUUUUCGAAUCCGGUGGCGAAGACGUUGGCUCUACUGUACUAGACGGAGAUGCCGGUGUUCUUUUCGUGAAAAAACACGAUGGACGAGCUACGGGUGAUGCCUUUGUCAUGUUUGCUACAGAAGAGGAGGGCUCUAAAGCAUUGGCUAAGCAUCGUGACAUAAUCGGCUCCCGCUACAUUGAACUCUUCCGGUCGACAACAGCGGAAGUCCAGCAGGUUUUAAACCGGUCCAUGGAUCCGCGUACUUACGAAACGCAAGCUCCGUUGAUUCCACAGUUGCCACAGAUGCCUCUCCUACCGCAACAGAUGAUCACGUCCGGAACGCGAAAAGAUUGCAUUCGUUUGCGUGGCUUGCCUUAUGAGGCCCAAGUGGAGCACAUCCUCGAAUUCCUCGGCGAACAUGCCAAGAGUAUCGUCUACCAGGGAGUUCACAUGGUCUACAAUGCCCAGGGUCAACCUUCGGGCGAAGCUUUCAUCCAGAUGGAUUCUGAGCAGAGCUCGUUCCAAGCGGCCCAUCAGCGCCAUCACCGCUACAUGGUGUUCGGCAAGAAGCAGCGCUACAUCGAGGUGUUCCAGUGCUCCGGCGAAGACAUGCACGUCGUGUUGACUGGCGGCCUGGCUCUUCCGUCGACUCCUGCCACACCGAAGGCUCUGCUCUCUCCUGGUGGAACGCUGUUGCCUCACCAGUCCUACGGAACGUACCCGUUUGGCCAGCCGCCGCAAAUCAUACCGGCCGUUAGUCCGUUGACUCCACGGCCACAACCUUUGGAUUUCCUCCCAUCUUCUAUUGGCCUUAUCCUUCGCCGCCCGUCAGCCCAACCAACUACUACGGAACGGCCAAUGGAUCGGCCGCGACCGCCGCAGCCGCUGCCGCCAUGUCAGCCGCCGCUGGAGGAGUGAACAACGGCUCAGGUCUACCUGCUGGUACCUUGGUAAUCAUGCGGGGGCUUCCCUUUACCGCAUCAUGUUCGGACAUUCUUCAAUUCUUCUCUGGCUUCUCCGAGUUGACGCCAGAUUGCAUCCAAAUUCACCGCAACAAUGACGGUCGUCCUUCUGGGGAGGCGGUCGUCAAUUUCCCGAAUAGAGCCGAAGCCGAGAGAGCCAUAGCAGAGAAGAAUCGCCAAAACAUCGGUACGCGUUACAUUGAACUCUUCAUGACAUAAACACCAAACUCUAUACCAGGCGCAUCAUUUAACGAUAAAAGUGGAGAGAAGAGACACUAGCGAAAAG